rnacentral:rRNA from 1 species
GACGAACGCUGGCGGCGUGCUUAACACAUGCCAGUCGAACGGAAAGGCCCUGCUUUUGUGGGGUGCUCGAGUGGCGAACGGGUGAGUAACACGUGAGUAACCUGCCCUUGACUUUGGGAUAACUUCAGGAAACUGGGGCUAAUACCUGCUAGGAGCUCCUGCUGCAUGGUGGGGGUUGGAAAGUUUCGGCGGUUGGGGUUGGACUCGCGGCUUAUCAGCUUGUUGGUGGGGUAGUGGCUUACCAAGGCUUUGACGGGUAGCCGGCCUGAGAGGGUGACCGGCCACAUUGGGACUGAGAUACGGCCCAGACGCCUACGGGAGGCAGCAGUGGGGAAUAUUGCCCAAUGGGCGGAGGCCGGAUGCAGCAACGCCGCGUGCGGGAUGACGGCCUUCGGGUGGGAAACCGCUUUCGCCUGUGACGAAGCGUGAGUGACGGUAAUGGGGAAAGAAGCACCGGCUAACUACGU